GGAUUGAUUACAGGCCGUGAGCCACCACUGGGAGCCCCCAAUUACAGAUUUCUUUGUUCCUUCUCCAUUCCCACUGCUUCACCCGACUAGCCUUUA
rnacentral:sRNA from 1 species